GAGGAAGUCUAACAGUCUUAACGAUCGCCUCUUGAAGUAGGUCUCGCCUGAGUCCAGUGGUACCGAAAUAUUAAACUAUAAUAUCACAGACCAUUAUCUCACUUAACGGGCGGCCCCCUCGCCUGGAACCGUUUUGAACAAUCCCAGACCGACACGUCUAUUCACUCCUGUUUCUCCUGUACCGAGUUGUUCAGACCUUUGUCCAAUCCGGCUUGUUGCGCUAUCCAUGUAUCCACACUGAAAAUGGGCUUGAUACAAGCUGGCCGAUGUCUGAUCUCACGCGCUGGUGAAGUUGUAACCGUGCAAUGUCGCAAAUCGGAGGAUGAUGGACAGGAAUAGUGGCUCGUUGGGGAAAAACUAAGGAUGUCGGAAUCGGAAAUCGAAGAUAUUCGACGAUAGUGCGGUUUGAAAAGUGUUGGAGAUGUAGUCGAUAGCGUCGCAGGAUGCAAUGCGGUUUAUGCGCGGUCAAAAAAGAUGGUGGAUUAUGGUUUCCCGAGGUUCUGA
rnacentral:sRNA from 1 species